rnacentral:rRNA from 1 species
UACGGGGGGAGCAAGCGUUGUUCGGAUUUACUGGGCGUAAAGCGUGCGCAGGCGGUUGUGCAAGACAGAUGUGAAAUCCCCGGGCUUAACCUGGGAAUUGCAUUUGUGACUGUACGGCUAGAGUGUGUCAGAGGGGGGUAGAAUUCCACGUGUAGCAGUGAAAUGCGUAGAGAUGUGGAGGAAUACCGAUGGCGAAGGCAGCCCCCUGGGAUAACACUGACGCUCAUGCACGAAAGCGUGGGGAGCAAACAGG